UACGUAGGGUCCGAGCGUUGUCCGGAGUUACUGGGCGUAAAGCGCGCGCAGGCGGCUCACCAAGUCUGGCGUGAAAGCCCCCGGCUCAACCGGGGAGGGUCGUCGGAGACUGGUGGGCUUGAGGGCGGUAGGGGCUGGUGGAAUUCCAGGUGUAGCGGUGAAAUGCGUAGAUAUCUGGAGGAACACCGGUGGCGAAGGCGGCAUCCUGGACCAAUAUUGACGCUGAGGAGCGAAAGCCAGGGGAGCAAACGGG
rnacentral:rRNA from 1 species